UACAGAGGGACCAAGCGUUGUUCGGAUUUACUGGGCGUAAAGGGCGCGUAGGCGGCUUGACAAGUCACUUGUGAAAUCUCCGGGCUUAACUCGGAACGGCCAAGUGAAACUGUCAUGCUAGAGUGCAGAAGGGGCAAUCGGAAUUCUUGGUGUAGCGGUGAAAUGCGUAGAUAUCAAGAGGAACACCUGAGGUGAAGACGGGUUGCUGGGCUGACACUGACGCUGAGGCGCGAAAGCCAGGGGAGCAAACGGG
rnacentral:rRNA from 1 species